rnacentral:rRNA from 1 species
CUGGCGGCGUGCUUAACACAUGCAAGUUGAACGGUAUGACAUGGAAGCUUGCUGAAGUGUCAUAUAGUAGCGGACGGGUGAGUAAUGCAUGAGAAGCUGCCAUUGGGAGGGGGGACAACAGUUGGAAACGGCUGCUAAUACCCCGUAUGCCGGAGGGUGAAAGGGAGUAAUCCGCCCGAUGAGGUGCUCAUGUCCUAUCAGCUGGUUGGUGGGGUAACGGCCUACCAAGGCGACGACGGGUAGCCGGCCUGAGAGGGUGAACGGCCACACUGGAACUGAGAUACGGUCCAGACUCCUACAGGAGGCAGCAGUGGGGAAUAUUUGGGGCAAUGGGGGCAACCCUGACCCAGCGACGCCGCGUGGGGGAAGACGGCCUUCGGGUUGUAAACCUCUUUUGUACGGGAAGAAGGAAGUGACGGUACUGUACGAAUAAGUCCCGGCUAACUACGUGCCAGCCGCGGC